rnacentral:sRNA from 1 species
UAGUCUAUCUGUUAGUUGAGGAAAUCAAGUUGGUCAUUUAGAUCCUAGGCUCAGCCCUUGGAACACACCCAUCUUUGUAAUUAAGAGAAAAUCUGGUAAUUGGAGAUUAUUACAAGACCUUAGAUCUAUUAAUUGAACCAUAGAGUCCAUGGGAGGUUACAAUCUGGGCUACUUUAUCCUUCAGCUAUUCCUUUAGAUUGUUAUUUGAUAGUAGAUCUAAAAGAUUGUUUCUUCUCUAUACUUUGCACCCAGAUGACUGUAAAAGUUUGCCUUUAG